GACGAACGCUGGCGGCGUGCUUAACACAUGCAAGUCGAGCGGUAAGGCCCUUUCGGGGGUACACGAGCGGCGAACGGGUGAGUAACACGUGGGUGACCUGCCCUCAGCUCUGGGAUAAGCCUGGGAAACUGGGUCUAAUACUGGAUAUGACUCCACGGUGCAUGUCGUGGGGUGGAAAGCCUUGUGCGGCUGAGGAUGGGCCCGCGGCCUAUCAGCUUGUUGGUGGGGUGANGGCCUACCAAGGCGACGACGGGUAGCCGGCCUGAGAGGGCGACCGGCCACACUGGGACUGAGAUACGGCCCAGACUCCUACGGGAGGCAGCAGGUGGGGAAUCUUGCGCAAUGGGCGAAAGCCUGACGCAGCGACGCCGCGUGAGGGAUGACGGCCU
rnacentral:rRNA from 1 species